GAGUGAAAUGAUGCUUUACCAUCUUUCGGGACUUACCCAAUAAUGGGGAUAACCUUUACUCACUGAUCGCUC